rnacentral:misc_RNA from 1 species
AGGAUCAUUAAAGAAAUUUAAUAAUUUUGAAAAUGGAUUUUUUUUUGUUUUGGCAAGAGCAUGAGAGCUUUUACUGGGCAAGAAGACAAGAGAUGGAGAGUCCAGCCGGGCCUGCGCUUAAGUGCGCGGUCUUGCUAGGCCUUGUAAGUUUCUUUCUUGCUAUUCCAAACGGUGAGAGAUUUCUGUGCUUUUGUUAUAGGACAAUUAAAACCGUUUCAAUACAACACACUGUGGAGUUUUCAUAUCUUUGCAACUUUUUCUUUGGGCAUUCGAGCAAUCGGGGCCCAGAGGUAACAAACACAAACAAUUUUAUCUAUUCAUUAAAUUUUUGUCAAAAACAAGAAUUUUCGUAACUGGAAAUUUUAAAAUAUUAAAAACUUUCAA